CAAAGAGUUUUAAAUAUAUUUAGAAUAGAUAAACCAACUCUAGUUAAAGUUUAGCCAACAAUGCACAUCGCUGUUAUGGGCGAGGGCGGACCUACGUCACUUCCGCCCUCCAAUCCCCUAGCAACGCGGUCGCCAUAUUGAAUUCGUUGAAAACAAACCAGCUCACAGCGAACACAGCAUUGACAGAAAAGGCAUUUAACGAGGUUUCACGGCAUUUUAAACUGUUCUAAAUGGCGCAUGCCUAUGUAAAUAGUCUUUCCAGUGAGGCUAGGUUAAGAUACAAGUUAAAAUGUUCUGUAGUUGGAUUAAACGACUGCCCUUACCGCCUUCCAGCAGAUGCGUGGACUGAUAAUCCUACACAAUGGCCGGACAUGGAAUUUGGAAAUCUUUAUGUCUACCUCACAAGCGCACCAGGCGUUUUCACUCAUCAGGCCAUGAAGGCAUACAAAUCACUGGAAGCUCAUCGUUACUUCACAGCUGGAUUUGUUCAAACUGUAAGACACCUCAAAACAUGUUCAUCAGUGACCAUCCUGCAAGCCAGUGUUAGACCAUCGCAGCGGAUGAAUGACCCUAGCCACCAGCCGUGGGUGGGGAUUCAUGAUGGAGGGGAGGUUUUGGCUGCACAUUGUACUUGCAUGGCAGGGGCCUGUAUCUCAGAGUUCAGCUGUUGGAUCAGUUGCUGUCGUUGAUCAGGCUCAGUCUGGGUUGACUCUUCUCUCAGCAGCUCAGUCAACAUGUUAACAUUGAUUGCAGCAGGCUCAAUGUUUUCACACUCAUUUGUCCUUUCCGUUGGAUCACUAAAAGGUAGUCGUUUCACA